CCAAUAGCGUAUAUUAAAGUUGUUGCAGUUAAAAAGCUCGUAGUUGAAUUUCGGGGUCAGUAGAUUGGUCGCGCCACUGGUAUGCACUGGUCUUACUGGCUCCUCCUUCCUGAUGAACCGUAAUGCCAUUAAUUUGGUGUUGCGGGGAAACUGGACUGUUACUUUGAAAAAAUUAGAGUGUUUAAAGCAGGCUAACGCUUGAAUACAUUAGCAUGGAAUAAUGAAAUAGGACGUUCGAUCCUAUUUUGUUGGUUUCUAGGAUUGACGUAAUGAUUAAUAGGGAUAGUUGGGGGCAUUAGUUAUCAAUUGUCAAAGGUGAAAUUCUUGGAUUUAUUGAAGACUAACUACUGCGAAAGCAUUUGCCAAGGAUGUUUUCAUUAAUCAAGAACGAAAGUUAGGGGAUCGAAGACGAUCAGAUACCGUCGUAGUCUUAACCAUAAACUAUGCCGACUAGGGAUCGGAUGAUGUUAAUUUUUUAAUGACUCAUUCGGCGCCUUACG
rnacentral:rRNA from 1 species